AUACUUGGACAAGUUAAUUAAAUGGGCUGACUGGAAGGAAAUAUUGAGAUUUAUCUCUGUCCUACUAAAUAAUUGGUCUAUCUGGUCUCUGUUUUGAAGGAUUUUGAAGAAUGAAUUUGUUUUGCAUGGUUUAAAGGGAAUACCUGUUUCUAGCAAUCAUCUUAUGUUGAUAUUUUAUUAGCUGUUAAAAGAGAUAAUAAAAGUGAAAUGGAAUGCAAAUACUCUUAACUUUUCCCAUUCAGCUCGAUGAAUUACUUUAUUUGGAGGAAAGAAGAUCUCAAUAAGUACAGAGAAUUUAAAAGUUGGAAGGAAGAAGGGGGCCAUGGCUGAUGUUCUAAAGUCCCAAGAGGGCAAACUCUGUUGGAGAAGCUGUUCAGUCAGCAGGAGAACGGGCCUCCAGAAGAAGCAGAAAAAUUUUGCUCACGGAUCAUUGCCAUGAGUCUUCUACUUCCUUUUAGUGACUGCUUCAGGGAACCAUGUCAUCAGAAUGCCCAGUCAAGUUUUGCUCCAUUUGAUAUAUGAACUGCUUACUUCCUUUCCAAUCCAGACUCUCAAUCUGCUAUUUUGGAAACGCCAAAAAAAAAGUUCAGAUGCUGCCUAGCAGGUGCUGAUGGAGUUGCUGCUAAUUGAACUGUGUCCUGAGCUGAGAACUCAUUUAGAUCAACUUAAAGCUGAUCAAGUUGGAGACUGCACAAGUAAAUCACCAGAGAAAUGUCUGUAAUAGUAGACAUGAAACAUUUUCCUCUUUUCCACAAAGGAUUUGACUGAGAACCAUAUUGAUUUUUAUUUUAGUUACCUCCCUCUAGUUUUAUGUGAAAUAAGCAGAAUUGGAGGGAGGGGUCUUGAUGCUGUGGUAGACAACAGAAAUUUAAAAAAACCUGUUUAUUAAUUAAGUAAUAAAAAUACUUUCAAAAGUUCAACAAUACUGAUUGAAAUACAAAUGUUAACGUGAUGAAACCCUAGGAAAUAUUUUAAAUAUUUAUGAAACGAUUUUGUUUUACAGUGAACUAUGAAUAUUAUACAAUUAAUUUCCUCACUGAGGAUUCUGAACAUUCCUAUGUUAUUUCACGUGUACUGAAGAACAUUGUUGUACAAUGCUUUGUGUAAAGUUAUUGUGAAAACUUUAUUGUCUUUAUUUUUGCCAAAGAUUUCCCAUAGUUUGAAGCAUUUGAAGCAAUAAAAUAUAAAAAAUUA